rnacentral:rRNA from 1 species
UGAAACACGGACCAAGGAGUCUAACAUAUGCGCGAGCUAAUGGGCGGAAAACCCAAAAGCGUAAUAAAAGUAAAGGCCGUUUCGGACGGCUAAGGUACGAUCCUAGAGUCCGCGCGAUUUUAGGCGCAGUACCGUCCCGUCCCGACCGCUUGUCGGUAGGGCGGAGACAGAGUGCAUACGUUGGGACCCGAAAGAUGGUGAACUAUGCCUGAGCAGAGCGAAGCCAGAGGAAACUCUGGUGGAGGUUCGUAGCGGUUCUGACGUGCAAAUCGAUCGUCAGACUUGGGUAUAGGGGCGAAAGACUAAUCGAACCAUCUAGUAGCUGGUUCCCCCUGAAGUUUCCCUCAGGAUAGCUGAUACUCGGGAAAUAAAGAAGUUUUAUCCGGUAAAGCGAAUGAUUAGAGGCAUUGGGGACGAAAUGACCUCAACCUAUUCUCAAACUUUAAAUGGGUAAGAAGUCGAGCUUGCUCGACCGAAGCCCGGCAAACGAAUUCGAGUAUCAAGUGGGCCAUUUUUGGUAAGCA